AAGGUUUGGUCCUGACCUUAUUAUCAACUAUUAUACAACUUACACAUGCAAGUCUCCGCACACCAGUGAGGAACACCCCUGUUCACCUCCACGAACAAGAUCCCGGCAUCAGACACAGAUACCUUGUCCAUAACGUCCGGCUACGCCACACCCCCAAGGGUACUCAGCAGUGAUCAACUUUGCCCAUAAGCGACAGCUUGAACCAGUUAAAGUAAAUAGAGUUGGCCAACCCGGUGCCAGCCGCCGCGGCUACACCACGGGACUCAAGUUGAUAACAUUCGGCGUUAAGAGUGUUUAAAGUGUCCCCCCCCCAUUAGAGCCAAACCCCAAACAAAACACGUGAUACUCUUGUUUCAAGAAGCCCAUAAACGAAAGUUGCUCUAACCAGACUACUAGACUCCACCACAGCUAAGAAAUAAACUGGGAUUAGGUACCCCACUAUGCUUAGCCGUAAACAUUAACUCACACUAAACCCGCCAGGGAACUACAAGCUCAAGCUUAAAACCCAAAGGACUUGACGGUGUCUCACUCCCACUAGAGGAGCCUGUUUUAUAAUCGACUCCACCCGAUAUACCUCACCACCUCUUGCCUACUCAGCCUGUAUACUUCCGUCGCAAGCUUACCAUGUGAAUGCACUAGUAAGCUCAAAUAUAUAUUAUACAUACGUCAGGUCAAUGUGCAGCCUACGAGGUGGGAAAAAUUGGCUACAAUCUCUACACUAGAACAAACGGAAGACUGUAUGAAACACAGCCCCAAGGCGAAUUUAGCAGUAAAAAGAAAAUAGAGAGUUCUUUUUAAUCAGGUUCUGAGAUGCGUACACACCGCCCGUCACCCUCUUCAAACAUCCACUAACUGUCCCUAACACUUCAGAGUAAAACAGAAGAGGCAAGUCGUAACAUGGUAAAGCGUACUGGAAAGUGCGCUUGGAAU
rnacentral:ncRNA from 1 species